CCUGGACUUUCAUAAAAGCUUUUUUUUUUUUUUAAUCAUUUAGCAGACAUAACACCUUUUGACGUGUUGUGAGCCUUCGGUGACCAUGCAAUUCUGACCUAACUGUGGUUCCACAUUCCCUAAAGUUAUUUGAAUGUGAUCUGAAGGCAACAGCAUUAAAUGAAUGUCUCAUAAUUUCUUGCCACAACUGUAUUUUCUUUUAAUGUAAAUAGAAUCAUGGUUUUAUUGCACUUUAAAAAUGUUACUUAUGUUCUCGAUUCCAUAAGGUAUUGAAAGACAUGAGCUUGAGUCUCAUGCCAUGUUGAACAAGAAUGUAGCCCUGCACAAUUAAAAUCAAUUACAUGCUCAAAUGCUUUUCAGGAACAGAGCCAGCGUGGUCAGCACUCAGCAUCGUUCUACUGGCAGCUCAGGCCAUCUGUUAUAUGUCAUCUGUUAUUACUGAUGAAACCAACCCCAGAAGCAACACCUGAAGACUCUUUACUUUGGAACUGAACCUGAUUUUUACAGCUCAGAGUAACCACUACUGGUAGCUCAUCUGGGUUAUUUAUUGCCCUUGCAUUUAUUUACCUUGCAUUUACCUUAUUUAUUUACCUUCCAUUUGUAUGUAUAUUCUUAUGUAUAUGAAUAGUUAAAAAAGAAACAAAUCGUAUUAUCCACAUUAUUCCCUUAAGACUCUCACCUUCCUACUUAUCAUUGCUUUGCUCCUGUAGACAUUUCUUUUCCUAAUUACCAAGCACUCUUCAAGCUAUCUUAAUGGGGUUGUGUGGUACUAUGAAAAUUUAAAC
rnacentral:lncRNA from 1 species